rnacentral:rRNA from 1 species
AUGAACGCUGGCGGCGUGCCUAAUACAUGCAAGUCGAACGAGUUCUGAUUAUUGAAAGGUGCUUGCAUCUUGAUUUAAUUUUGAACGAGUGGCGGACGGGUGAGUAACACGUGGGUAACCUGCCCUUAAGUGGGGGAUAACAUUUGGAAACAGAUGCUAAUACCGCAUAAAUCCAAGAACCGCAUGGUUCUUGGCUGAAAGAUGGCGUAAGCUAUCGCUUUUGGAUGGACCCGCGGCGUAUUAGCUAGUUGGUGAGGUAACGGCUCACCAAGGCAAUGAUACGUAGCCGAACUGAGAGGUUGAUCGGCCACAUUGGGACUGAGACACGGCCCAAACUCCUACGGGAGGCAGCAGUAGGGAAUCUUCCACAAUGGACGCAAGUCUGAUGGAGCAACGCCGCGUGAGUGAAGGAGGCUUUCGGGUCGUAACACCCUGUUGUUGGAGAAGAAUGGUCGGCAGAGUAACUGUUGUCGGCGUGACGGUAUCCAACCAGAAAGCCACGGCUAACUACGUGCCAGCAGCCGCGGUAAUACGUAGGUGGCAAGCGUUAUCCGGAUUUAUUGGGCGUAAAGCGAGCGCAGGCGGUUUUUUAAGUCUGAUGUGAAAGCCCUCGGCUUAACCGAGGAAGUGCAUCGGAAACUGGGAAACUUGAGUACAGAAGAGGACAGUGGAACUCCAUGUGUAGCGGUGAAAUGCGUAGAUAUAUGGAAGAACACCAGUGGCGAAGGCGGCUGUCUGGUCUGUAACUGACGCUGAGGCUCGAAAGCAUGGGUAGCGAACAGGAUUAGAUACCCUGGUAGUCCAUGCCGUAAACGAUGAAUGCUAGGUGUUGGAGGGUUUCCGCCCUUCAGUGCCGCAGCUAACGCAUUAAGCAUUCCGCCUGGGGAGUACGACCGCAAGGUUGAAACUCAAAGGAAUUGACGGGGGCCCGCACAAGCGGUGGAGCAUGUGGUUUAAUUCGAAGCAACGCGAAGAACCUUACCAGGUCUUGACAUCUUUUGAUCACCUGAGAGAUCAGGUUUCCCCUUCGGGGGCAAAAUGACAGGUGGUGCAUGGUUGUCGUCAGCUCGUGUCGUGAGAUGUUGGGUUAAGUCCCGCAACGAGCGCAACCCUUAUGACUAGUUGCCAGCAUUUAGUUGGGCACUCUAGUAAGACUGCCGGUGACAAACCGGAGGAAGGUGGGGAUGACGUCAAAUCAUCAUGCCCCUUAUGACCUGGGCUACACAUGUGCUACAAUGGAUGGUACAACGAGUUGCGAGACCGCGAGGUCAAGCUAAUCUCUUAAAGCCAUUCUCAGUUCGGACUGUAGGCUGCAACUCGCCUACACGAAGUCGGAAUCGCUAGUAAUCGCGGAUCAGCACGCCGCGGUGAAUACGUUCCCGGGCCUUGUACACACCGCCCGUCACACCAUGAGAGUUUGUAACACCCGAAGCCGGUGGCGUAACCCUUUUAGGGAGCGAGCCGUCUAAGGUGGGACAAAUGAUUAGGGUG